rnacentral:rRNA from 1 species
GACGGAGGGUGCUAGCGUUGUUCGGAUUUACUGGGCGUAAAGCGCGUGUAGGCGGCUCGGAAAGUCGGGUGUGAAAGCCCUGGGCUCAACCUAGGAAGUGCACUCGAAACUUCCGAGCUGGAGUUCUGGAGAGGAAGGCGGAAUUCUCGGUGUAGAGGUGAAAUUCGUAGAUAUCGAGAGGAACACCGGUGGCGAAGGCGGCCUUCUGGACAGCAACUGACGCUGAGACGCGAAAGCGUGGGGAGCAAACAGG